rnacentral:rRNA from 1 species
GGGCAAAAGUCGUAACAAGGUAGCUGUAGGUGAACCUGCUGCUGGAUCAUUACACGUACCGUGAUGGUCACAAACCACACACUCGCUUUUGUGUGCGAUAAUCCACAAAACCCUGUGCUCAUUGGGUGACACUCAUGGAUGGGUGUGGUGGAUUUCAACUUGCAUUAGUCCCGAAGCAAGGAAACGGCUUUAGCUGGUGUUUAUGCGUGGUUGAGCAGUUGUUGGUCACGUCCGUGGCUGUGAUGAGACCGCGCGGUAGGACCAUGACAAUGCCAGUCGUGGUUUAAGACUUGAUGAGGUGGCCUCGUAUGGCACCGCCAGCAUCCUUUUUUUUUCAAUUAAAUUUUUUCAAAAAAACAAGCAAUUCUAAUCUUAUCGGUGGAUCACUCGGCUCGUAGUUCGAUGAAGAACGCAGCUAACUGCGAUAACUAGUGUGAACUGCAGAAGCAUUGAGCACUGAAUCUUCGAAUGCACAUUGCGCCAUUGGAUUCCGAUCCUUUGGCACGUUUGGUUCAGGGUCGUUAAAGACAAACGCAUCCCAGUUGCGUUUUGAUUGGUACGAGUCCAACGGUGCAUUGGCGUGCAAUGUCAAGCAUAUUGUUCUUGUAAAAUGUCAAAAGGUAACAACGGUUUUCAGCAAACCUUAGAGCAUGUCCGGUGGUUUCUACCCGCUCUAUGUUGCUGAAUAUGUUGACCCCCAAUUCUCUGAAUUUCGACCUGAACUCGAGCGUGAGCACCCGCUGAACUUAAGCAUAUCAGUAAGCGGAGGAAAAGAAACUAACAAGG